UACGUAGGGGGCAAGCGUUGUCCGGAUUUAUUGGGCGUAAAGAGCGUGUAGGCGGCUUGGUAGGUCCGCUGUGAAAACUCGAGGCUCAACCUCGAGAUGUCGGCGGAAACCACUUGGCUAGAGUCCGGAAGAGGAGAGUGGAAUUCCCGGUGUAGCGGUGAAAUGCGCAGAUAUCGGGAAGAACACCUAUGGCGAAGGCAGCUCUCUGGGACGGUACUGACGCUGAGAAGCGAAAGCAUGGGGAGCGAACAGG
rnacentral:rRNA from 1 species